rnacentral:tRNA from 1 species
CAGAAUUGUAGUUUAACAAAAAUAUUAGCAUUGGAAGCUAAAGAUUUGGUUUAACCCAACAUUUUGA